UCUCCUUUGUACUGCCUCUGCCAGGAAAUUGUUACAUGCUACAAAUUUGUGGAUGAAGCACGCACAAGAAAAACAAUAGAUUUACUUACCCAGAGGCCAGCCGAUUCAUGGCCGGAUCUAGUUAGUUACCUACACGUACUAGAAAAGCAUUGACCCAGCUCACCUAGAGCGACCGAAUCUGGAGGUGGGGCAAGGAAGGGGCGACGAGAAAGGACUCACAUACCAGAAGCUUACCUCAGGCCGGGCAGAGGGAAGGAAAUCAGCCGGAACAGAGGCCACAGGUGGAGGAAAACCAGCGCUGGAUCCUCGGCGGCCGACGGCCUUGCUUCUCCUUACUGGUGGACGGUUCUGCUGCUCCUGUCUGGUGGCGCUUGACGGCGCUGCUGCUCCUGUACGGUGGCGCUUGACAGCGCUGCUACUCCUCAGCGCAGCGGAUGGAGCUGCUGCUCCUGGGCGGAUGGUGCCCUACGGGGAGGAAGGUCAGGGUUGGAGUUGAUGUGGCGCGAGGGAACAAGCGGACGGGCGGCGGCGCGGUCGAGUUAGGUUUAGGUCGGAGGCGGCGGCGCACGGGUUCUAUGUGAGUGGUGAGAGAGAGAAGGGUGAGAUUGGGGGUUGGACGGGUGUGUUUUUUCUUUUCUUUUGCUGGUCUGGUCCGACUCGGGUGUUUUCCAUCGCGCGCAUAUCUCUACUACUAUUAAACAAGCAAACAUAUCUUUCCCUCCCUUUUUUUUACUAAUAAAGCAAAUAGUGUUUCUGGUCGUCCGUCAUUAAAAGUGCCCUUGAAGUUGUAAAUAAUUACCCACCAUGCCAUUGGUAAGUGGAAAAAACGGUUCGGUUUACCCUUUUCUAAAAUCCGCGACCUACUCAAGUUAUUAAAGUGAAGCCCCUGUAAUCAACAACUUGCAUGUGUGUGGCGCAGUGGUGUGAGGCUCGCCUGUUUACCUGGGAGACCCAGGUUCGAGUCCCCUUGCUCCCUUUUUCCUCCUUUUAUUUUUCUCUCCUAUUAAUGUUGGUAGGCGUAGGAUAUUACUACUCGCUCCAGCGUCACUUAGCAGAUGGGCAGCACAAUGUACCAGUUACUCUAUUUUUUGGACAUAUUCAUAUAUUUCAAAAAAAAAUCAUAACUUUCAAACCCUAACUCCAAAUCUAACAUGUUAUGUAUAGAAAUCCCUUAAAAAGAUGUGUAGAUUUCAAAUAUGGUAUUAUAUUAAUCACUUUCAAUGUCAAAAAAACUCAUAACUUUCAAACCCUAACUUCAAAUCUAGCAUGUUAUAUAUAGAAAUCCCUUAAAAAGAUGUGUAGAUUUCAAAUAUGGUACUAUAUUAAUCACUUUCAAAUCCUAACGCCAAAUCUAACAUGUUAUAUAUGGAAAUCCCUUUAAAAAGAUGUGUAGAUUUCAAAUAUGCUAUUGUAUUAAUCAUCAUUCCUAAAAUUCCAUUUAUGAUGCAACCUUUAUUAAUAUCUUCUUUAUAUGGGGUAUUUUGAAAAUCCCGGCUUAACGUUGAUAUUUCUGUAGUCUAAUAAAUUGGAAACAUGUUGAAUACAUUUCACAAAUAAUACAACCUUAUGAACUUACACCACUUAUCAUGUUGUUUCUCGUGGGGCAUUGUGAAAGAUUUGAAGGGAUUCGCCGAUGCUCUCAGGUGUGCAUAUGAGGGAUGAUUUUUUUCCGUUGCAACACACUGGAAAUAAUGCCUUUCCAUGGAAUCUGAAGCAUGCAUGGUUAAAAAAGAAAUUCCGAAUCAUACACCUGAUUUCAUGAAAAUUAUUGUGACCUCUUCAAAUAGAAAAUUCGUUUUAGUGUGGUAUGUGCAAAUCUGUUUAUUAUGUUUCCUUCUAUAUAAAAGAAAAUUGAGUUGUACUUUAGACUUUAUAGGUCUCCGUGCAUGUAAGUUUAGAAGAAAUUUGGUAACGAAAAUCAGUAAUGGGCAUCUGGUAACUUACCAAUUAAACCCUAAUUUCUUAUAUAUGUACAUACAUGUACGAUCCUCAUGAUUUAGGCUCUCAAUGAUAAAUCAAAUGAUGAAGGUAAUGACUCAUUAUACUACAAAUUAACUAGGAAGGUAAUUUAGAUAUUUAAAUUAAUCAAUUCUUUCAGGAUUGAAGUGUAGCAUCUCAUACAUGCAUUUUAAGAUCAUUGGUAAAAUAUACAUUACAUGGCUGAUGCAAUAGAAUGUUAUCUUGGGUCAUUGGGCUAGGGAGGUGUGUUUUGAUUCUCCCGGUGCAACGCACGGGCAUAUUUACUAGUUCUUCUCUAAACACAUUCAAAAACACGUACACGAAACAACCAAGAUAAAAUACCACCUCACGAUUCGAUCCAUCUAAUUAGAUCUAACCGUUAAUAACCCUCAUCUGUGUACGUUUAGCAAUUUAGAGAAGCGGACGAAACUCUGCCAUCUAUUCGUCGAGAGGACGAAACGUUCCGCUGCGAGCAAAAAUUUAACUGAUUCGCGUGAUUAAAGGCCUGCAUGCAGCGGCAUGGCCCACGUUCAGCAUUAUGGCGUUCGCAUGCAUUUGUUCGGCCUGCCGAGGCGCAUCUUCAGGAGAGGGGGGAGAAUGAGAGGCCUGGCGGCGGCACAGGGCGUGCUCGCCGGCGAGCGUGCUCCCGCAUCUGCCUGGCGCACGGGGUUGGAUCGGGCGCUAGGGUUGCCCUGCCGCCGCCCAUAGCAGUCAGGGGUUGACGGGGAGAAGCAGUCGGAAGGCGACGGAGGCGGCGGUGGCUCGAUUACAUCUAUGCGACGAUGACGGCUCGGCAGCGGCGAGUGGCCGAUUCAUCUCCUCGCUAGCCCCUCGCCCUUUAAAGGUUAAAGAUCUGGCACCCUCUUCCCCCGGACGCCCAGAACGAGCGGCGGAUCCAGAAAACCAGUUCGUCAAGAUACGCGCAUACACAAGAAGUAGACAUGCAAACAGCUGGAUGGAUUUUUCUUACAGGAGCGCACACACACAUAUGGAAAAGGCAAGCCGCCGGUGAAGACAGCUUCAGCCUCACCACCAAGGACGGAAUCACGGAAAGGUCAGCUUCAUCCGAACCAACCGCGAGGACCAUGCUAAGGUACAUACAUACAUAUACCAAGAUCGAUAUUGACCGAUGCUUGUGGUUGCAAUUUCAUGUCCAUCACUGAUGUAUUGGUGCUCAUGGUGAGAUAUGGGAUAAUAAGUGGAAACUUUUCACCGCUCAGUUCUUACCGAAUGAAUCUUUGUAAGUAAUCUUUUUUCCCUACCCCCUCUUAUAUUUACAGGAAAUUCAAGUGUGGUACACAUAUGAGUAUGCUUUGCUUCCCUCUGUUGUACACAUGUGGUUAUUUGUUAUCUCUGAUUAAGAGAAUCAAGGGCCACUACAUUCUUGAAUAUUGAGACUGUGUUAGUUGGUUUAGGUUAAACUUGAUACAUGCUAUUUACUUUUUCUUCAUCUGACAAUUCAGUUGUACUAUUGAUUUUGACAAUUUUCAGGAAUUUUAAGCCGUCUUUGGAUUUUAGCUUCCUCAAUCAUUCUGAAUUAUUUAAUGUUAGUAUGAGGUACAUGUGUUCCCAAGAUUAAACUUGAGAAAUGUGUAGUUGACCACUUGGGUACGUUUGAUUUCUUUAGUAGAUGCAGCGACAACCACCAUUGUCCAUGAUCUAUACUAAAGAUAAUUAUUAGCAGUGCAACAUCUCUGUUGGUUCAAUCAAAUAGUUCAGCCUGGUCGGUUCUUACUAAUAUUUAAGCCACCUUCAAUUUUUAGCCUGCUCGGUCAUUUUGGAGUAGUUUCAGUUUUGGGUGCAUGUCUUUAAUAGAACAACAAACUUAUUUUAGGUGCUAAAAUAAACACUAAACACCAAUUCCUGAUGGCGACUAUUUUUAGAAAGACCAUCCGGCUGGAGGAGAUCCUUACUAUCGAUGUCAAGCCGGGGUGGAAGAAGGGCACGAAGAUCACCUUCCUAGAUGGAAGGAUCCGGUUUUUUCGGUGCAGUUCUGUGUUUUAAAAAGUUAUUGCGAUGUAAUUUUUUUAUUAACACUACAGUCCAUGAAGUUAUAUUUACGGAUAUUUCAUUUUUCGCAUAAGAUGAAGCACCAUUUUAUUUUUAAAUAUUUUUUGAAGUAAAAUUUGUGAAUAAACGGAAUGAUGUUUCAGAGGAUUUGAAUGGUUGUGACUUGUGGGGUCGCCUGGGGAGGCGACUGCGGCAGGGAGCAGCGGCACAUCGGCGGACAACAACACAUGUGUAGCGUGCAGCGGCAGCGGUUGCACGGCCACGACGGAAGAGCAACAACACGAAUGAGGUGCAGGUGGGGGUAAGAGUAAGUAUCACUUGUCAUGUUUAACUCAUGGCAACAAAGAGUAAGGAUCACUUCACACUCACUACAGGAAAAAUACUGCUGUGACGAUUAUAUACAUAUAUGUUCCACUUGGUCGCUCAGUUAGUAUUAAUUUCCUAUCUAUUCCUUUUUCUUGCAGACACGUUUUGAAACUAGACUUUGAUGGGAAGUUCAUCCGUAUAUGGGAAUUAUACCUUUAUAUGCCUCUGGUUUCACAUCAUGAGCAGUUAGAAAUUACCAUGUAUGGACGCAUGUAUGUGUGCUCUUUGUGUAGGUUUACCUGCAUUAUUCCUAGACAAAUGGAAGUCAUAUACUCCCUCUGUCCUUCGAAAAACAUCUUGCUGGAAAUUGUUUGAUGGUUUCCAAUGCAGACUAAAAUUUGAGCUGAUGUUGCCUUUUGCAAUUAUGUUAAUCUCAGCCGUAAGAUUGAAAGAUCAGCAGACAUUAGAUCUUUGAGUAAAAAGUAGUAACUUGGAACCUUUGGUGAACGGUAGAAAGUGAGCUUUCGUUGUUUGAGAUUGUAAAUAACAUGGGAUGGAGACUUGACCCCCACAUAAUUAUUUUACACUGACCUAUUGAACCAUGAAACAACAUUGCUGAACUUCAACAUUUCGGUAAAACAUCACAUGGAAAAUUGGCUACAACCAACCAGAUUGUUAAAUCCUCAUGUAUUUUAUACUGAACUCAAGAAGUGUGAAUAAGCAAGAAAGCUUUUGAAGAGAUCAGUGUAUCGUCGCAACUGCUACUACGAUUGGCUCCUUUCCAAGCACUGGUAAGAUCUUUCAACAGAUCUUAGCGACAUCUCUCUCUUCUUAAAUUUGCCAGGAUUUUAUGUAGUUGCUUUUCUUCUAAUAAGGUGCAUCCUGCUUGCUGUUGAAUUGUGCAGAAAGGCUACAUUGUAUUAAUUUCUUUUUCGCAUAGUUGAUACAAUUCAACACAUUUUGUAUCAACUGAUAACUUUGAAUCUUUGCGUCUUUCAUCGGAUCGUGCUUUGAAUUUGCACAUGAAUAACUAAAAGCACCAUGACAUUACGCAUUUCCUUCAUUUUAGCCAUUAAACUUACUUAUGUAUCCGGUGUUAAUUUAUCAUUUCUUGUAUAUUCAUCUUAGUUAGGAAGGGUGGCUUCAGUCAUCCUAAAUUUUGUGUGGGUUCUUUUUUCAGCCGUGGCUAGCUUUGCAAAACAAUAAUUAUUAUAAUCCUUGAUCUGCACAUGCCCAAUUUCCUUAUACCGUAUAGUGUCUCAUUCUAGAAUAGUAGCCUUUCUGCUCUGUUAAGAUGUUGAAGCACGGCGACAUUUUUAACUCAUGUUUAAUAUUGACAGAACUAAGCAUUAGGUAGUUGCUUGCAUGCCAUUCAUGUCAUAGAGAAAAUGCUAAAUUUCCUCUCUCCAAUUCCUUAUCAUGAACCUAACGCUUUAUUGAUCUGUUUUUAGCUUCUAGAUGUUCUGAAACUAUAUACACAAUAGAUACUGUUUGUCUGAACUGUAGUUCCACUCCAUGAAAAGCUGAGAUAAACUAAGAAUGGGGUAAAAAAAAUCCGACUCUUCCUGCUCACUGGCGGUGCCCGCUAUGGCAUGGGUGGCUUUACCGCAGCCGCCGAGCCUUCAAAUUCUGAAGAUAACAAGCAGCUCGAAUCCAAGAAGAAAACUAAUUUAGUUCAGCCAACACUCCUAUUUUUUGUGCAUCUUUGUUCCAACUUUGCAUUGACGCCAUGUCCACUUGGACAAUGUUCAUAUGUUACUUUGAUUUUUGCCCAAGAAAAUAAACAUUCUGAAAUCUUUGUAGGAAUAGACUAAAUACGCUACGCCCUUACAUUCUUUGUGGAGAAGUUCUUCAGCCAAUCUAUUGCCAUUGAUUUCUGUCAUCCUAAAGUUUGAAUUCAAAAUUUUAUACCCGCAAAAUUUGAUAUGGUUUGAUUGAGAUGUGCGACGUGCGUUGCACGUACACACUUACUUUUCGAUAGAAACUAGGUAUUAUGACAGUCUAAUGCAUCCAAUGUUCAUAAUGACAUUACAAAUUGUACCAUUAAGCAGCUUAGGAGGACCAUCCUCUGUUCCUGUAACAGAACCGAUGUAAAUUCUUCACUUGCCCCACCACCUACAUAUAAAGAUUGAUUGUUAGUACAUUAUUACUGAAAAAUGCUUCUCUUUGAUAGACGCAUCACUACAUGUGUACAUAAUUAGGACAUACAGAUCACAUCUGUGACUUCAUAGGCCCACACAUAAUCUGAUUUAGCCACAAGGCUUUGAAGCUGGCACCCGUGCAAUAAGAUAUAAAUAAAUGAAAAAUAAAAUAUGCCACUCACAACGGGAAAAGUAAUUACAAUUCUAACAGACUCAUCCCUCUCCUUUGUACUGCCUCUGCCAGGAAAUUGUUACAUGCUACAAAUUUGUGGAUGAAGCACGCACAAGAAAAACAAUAGAUUUACUUACCCAGAGGCCAGCCGAUUCAUGGCUGGAUCUAGUUAGUUACCUACACGUACUAGAAAAGCAUUGACCGAGCUCACCUAGAGCGACCGAAUCUGGAGGUGGGGCAAGGAAGGGGCGACGAGAAAGGACUCACAUACCAGAAGCUUACCUCAGGCCGGGCGGAGGGAGGGAAAUCAGCCGGAACAGAGGCCACAGGUGGAGGAAAACCAGCGUUGGAUCCUCGGCGGCCGACGGCCUUGCUUCUCCUUACUGGUGGACGGUUCUGCUGCUCCUGUCUGGUGGCGCUUGACGGCGCUGCUGCUCCUGUACGGUGGCGCUUGACAGCGCUGCUACUCCUUAGCGUAGCGGAUGGAGCUGCUGCUCCUGGGCGGAUGGUGCCCUGCGGGGAGGAAGGUCAGGGUUGGAGUUGAUGUGGCGCGAGGGAACAAGCGGACGGGCGGCGGCGCGGUCGAGUUAGGUUUAGGUCGGAGGCGGCGGCGCACGGGUUCUAUGUGAGUGGUGAGAGAGAGAAGGGUGAGAUUGGGGGUUGGACGGGUGUGUUUUUUCUUUUCUUUUGCUGGUCUGGUCCGACUCGGGUGUUUUCCAUCGCGCGCAUAUCUCUACUACUAUUAAACAAGCAAACAUAUCUUUCCCUCCCUUUUUUUACUAAUAAAGCAAAUAGUGUUUCUGGUCGUCCGUCAUUAAAAGUGCCCUUGAAGUUGUAAAUAAUUACCCACCAUGCCAUUGGUAAGUGGAAAAAACGGUUCGGUUUACCCUUUUCUAAAAUCCGCGACCUACUCAAGUUAUUAAAGUGAAGCCCCUGUAAUCAACAACUUGCAUGUGUGUGGCGCAGUGGUGUGAGGCUCGCCUGUUUACCUGGGAGACCCAGGUUCGAGUCCCCUUGCUCCCUUUUUCCUCCUUUUAUUUUUCUCUCCUAUUAAUGUUGGUAGGCGUAGGAUAUUACUACUCGCUCCAGCGUCACUUAGCAGAUGGGCAGCACAAUGUACCAGUUACUCUAUUUUUUGGACAUAUUCAUAUAUUUCAAAAAAAAAUCAUAACUUUCAAACCCUAACUCCAAAUCUAACAUGUUAUGUAUAGAAAUCCCUUAAAAAGAUGUGUAGAUUUCAAAUAUGGUAUUAUAUUAAUCACUUUCAAUGUCAAAAAAACUCAUAACUUUCAAACCCUAACUUCAAAUCUAGCAUGUUAUAUAUAGAAAUCCCUUAAAAAGAUGUGUAGAUUUCAAAUAUGGUACUAUAUUAAUCACUUUCAAAUCCUAACGCCAAAUCUAACAUGUUAUAUAUGGAAAUCCCUUUAAAAAGAUGUGUAGAUUUCAAAUAUGCUAUUGUAUUAAUCAUCAUUCCUAAAAUUCCAUUUAUGAUGCAACCUUUAUUAAUAUCUUCUUUAUAUGGGGUAUUUUGAAAAUCCCGGCUUAACGUUGAUAUUUCUGUAGUCUAAUAAAUUGGAAACAUGUUGAAUACAUUUCACAAAUAAUACAACCUUAUGAACUUACACCACUUAUCAUGUUGUUUCUCGUGGGGCAUUGUGAAAGAUUUGAAGGGAUUCGCCGAUGCUCUCAGGUGUGCAUAUGAGGGAUGAUUUUUUUCCGUUGCAACACACUGGAAAUAAUGCCUUUCCAUGGAAUCUGAAGCAUGCAUGGUUAAAAAAGAAAUUCCGAAUCAUACACCUGAUUUCAUGAAAAUUAUUGUGACCUCUUCAAAUAGAAAAUUCGUUUUAGUGUGGUAUGUGCAAAUCUGUUUAUUAUGUUUCCUUCUAUAUGAAAGAAAAUUGAGUUGUACUUUAGACUUUAUAGGUCUCCGUGCAUGUAAGUUUAGAAGAAAUUUGGUAACGAAAAUCAGUAAUGGGCAUCUGGUAACUUACCAAUUAAACCCUAAUUUCUUAUAUAUGUACAUACAUGUACGAUCCUCAUGAUUUAGGCUCUCAAUGAUAAAUCAAAUGAUGAAGGUAAUGACUCAUUAUACUACAAAUUAACUAGGAAGGUAAUUUAGAUAUUUAAAUUAAUCAAUUCUUUCAGGAUUGAAGUGUAGCAUCUCAUACAUGCAUUUUAAGAUCAUUGGUAAAAUAUACAUUACAUGGCUGAUGCAACAGAAUGUUAUCUUGGGUCAUUGGGCUAGGGAGGUGUGUUUUGAUUCUCCCGGUGCAACGCACGGGCAUAUUUACUAGUUCUUCUCUAAACACAUUCAAAAACACGUACACGAAACAACCAAGAUAAAAUACCACCUCACGAUUCGAUCCAUCUAAUUAGAUCUAACCGUUAAUAACCCUCAUCUGUGUACGUUUAGCAAUUUAGAGAAGCGGACGAAACUCUGCCAUCUAUUCGUCGAGAGGACGAAACGUUCCGCUGCGAGCAAAAAUUUAACUGAUUCGCGUGAUUAAAGGCCUGCAUGCAGCGGCAUGGCCCACGUUCAGCAUUAUGGCGUUCGCAUGCAUUUGUUCGGCCUGCCGAGGCGCAUCUUCAGGAGAGGGGGGAGAAUGAGAGGCCUGGCGGCGGCACAGGGCGUGCUCGCCGGCGAGCGUGCUCCCGCAUCUGCCUGGCGCACGGGGUUGGAUCGGGCGCUAGGGUUGCCCUGCCGCCGCCCAUAGCAGUCAGGGGUUGACGGGGAGAAGCAGUCGGAAGGUGACGGAGGCGGCGGUGGCUCGAUUACAUCUAUGCGACGAUGACGGCUCGACAGCGGCGAGUGGCCGAUUCAUCUCCUCGCUAGCCCCUCGCCCUUUAAAGGUUAAAGAUCUGGCACCCUCUUCCCCCGGACGCCCAGAACGAGCGGCGGAUCCAGAAAACCAGUUCGUCAAGAUACGCGCAUACACAAGAAGUAGACAUGCAAACAGCUGGAUGGAUUUUUCUUACAGGAGCGCACACACACAUAUGGAAAAGGCAAGCCGCCGGUGAAGACAGCUUCAGCCUCACCACCAAGGACGGAAUCACGGAAAGGUCAGCUUCAUCCGAACCAACCGCGAGGACCAUGCUAAGGUACAUACAUACAUAUACCAAGAUCGAUAUUGACCGAUGCUUGUGGUUGCAAUUUCAUGUCCAUCACUGAUGUAUUGGUGCUCAUGGUGAGAUAUGGGAUAAUAAGUGGAAACUUUUCACCGCUCAGUUCUUACCGAAUGAAUCUUUGUAAGUAAUCUUUUUUCCCUACCCCCUCUUAUAUUUACAGGAAAUUCAAGUGUGGUACACAUAUGAGUAUGCUUUGCUUCCCUCUGUUGUACACAUGUGGUUAUUUGUUAUCUCUGAUUAAGAGAAUCAAGGGCCACUACAUUCUUGAAUAUUGAGACUGUGUUAGUUGGUUUAGGUUAAACUUGAUACAUGCUAUUUACUUUUUCUUCAUCUGACAAUUCAGUUGUACUAUUGAUUUUGACAAUUUUCAGGAAUUUUAAGCCGUCUUUGGAUUUUAGCUUCCUCAAUCAUUCUGAAUUAUUUAAUGUUAGUAUGAGGUACAUGUGUUCCCAAGAUUAAACUUGAGAAAUGUGUAGUUGACCACUUGGGUACGUUUGAUUUCUUUAGUAGAUGCAGCGACAACCACCAUUGUCCAUGAUCUAUACUAAAGAUAAUUAUUAGCAGUGCAACAUCUCUGUUGGUUCAAUCAAAUAGUUCAGCCUGGUCGGUUCUUACUAAUAUUUAAGCCACCUUCAAUUUUUAGCCUGCUCGGUCAUUUUGGAGUAGUUUCAGUUUUGGGUGCAUGUCUUUAAUAGAACAACAAACUUAUUUUAGGUGCUAAAAUAAACACUAAACACCAAUUCCUGAUGGCGACUAUUUUUAGAAAGACCAUCCGGCUGGAGGAGAUCCUUACUAUCGAUGUCAAGCCGGGGUGGAAGAAGGGCACGAAGAUCACCUUCCUAGAUGGAAGGAUCCGGUUUUUUCGGUGCAGUUCUGUGUUUUAAAAAGUUAUUGCGAUGUAAUUUUUUUAUUAACACUACAGUCCAUGAAGUUAUAUUUACGGAUAUUUCAUUUUUCGCAUAAGAUGAAGCACCAUUUUAUUUUUAAAUAUUUUUUGAAGUAAAAUUUGUGAAUAAACGGAAUGAUGUUUCAGAGGAUUUGAAUGGUUGUGACUUGUGGGGUCGCCUGGGGAGGCGACUGCGGCAGGGAGCAGCGGCACAUCGGCGGACAACAACACAUGUGUAGCGUGCAGCGGCAGCGGCUGCACGGCCACGACGGAAGAGCAACAACACGAAUGAGGUGCAGGUGGGGGUAAGAGUAAGUAUCACUUGUCAUGUUUAACUCAUGGCAACAAAGAGUAAGGAUCACUUCACACUCACUACAGGAAAAAUACUGCUGUGACGAUUAUAUACAUAUAUGUUCCACUUGGUCGCUCAGUUAGUAUUAAUUUCCUAUCUAUUCCUUUUUCUUGCAGACACAUUUUGAAACUAGACUUUGAUGGGAAGUUCAUCCGUAUAUGGGAAUUAUACCUUUAUAUGCCUCUGGUUUCACAUCAUGAGCAGUUAGAAAUUACCAUGUAUGGACGCAUGUAUGUGUGCUCUUUGUGUAGGUUUACCUGCAUUAUUCCUAGACAAAUGGAAGUCAUAUACUCCCUCUGUCCUUCGAAAAACAUCUUGCUGGAAAUUGUUUGAUGGUUUCCAAUGCAGACUAAAAUUUGAGCUGAUGUUGCCUUUUGCAAUUAUGUUAAUCUCAGCCAUAAGAUUGAAAGAUCAGCAGACAUUAGAUCUUUGAGUAAAAAGUAGUAACUUGGAACCUUUGGUGAACGGUAGAAAGUGAGCUUUCGUUGUUUGAGAUUGUAAAUAACAUGGGAUGGAGACUUGACCGCCACAUAAUUAUUUUACACUGACCUAUUGAACCAUGAAACAACAUUGCUGAACUUCAAAAUUUCGGCAAAACAUCACAUGGAAAAUUGGCUACAACCAACCAGAUUGUUAAAUCCUCAUGUAUUUUAUACUGAACUCAAGAAGUGUGAAUAAGCAAGAAAGCUUUUGAAGAGAUCAGUGUAUCGUCGCAACUGCUACUACGAUUGGCUCCUUUCCAAGCACUGGUAAGAUCUUUCAACAGAUCUUAGCGACAUCUCUCUCUUCUUAAAUUUGCCAGGAUUUUAUGUAGUUGCUUUUCUUCUAAUAAGGUGCAUCCUGCUUGCUGUUGAAUUGUGCAGAAAGGCUACAUUGUAUUAAUUUCUUUUUCGCAUAGUUGAUACAAUUCAACACAUUUUGUAUCAACUGAUAACUUUGAAUCUUUGCGUCUUUCAUCGGAUCGUGCUUUGAAUUUGCACAUGAAUAACUAAAAGCACCAUGACAUUACGCAUUUCCUUUAUUUUAGCCAUUAAACUUACUUAUGUAUCCGGUGUUAAUUUAUCAUUUCUUGUAUAUUCAUCUUAGUUAGGAAGGGUGGCUUCAGUCAUCCUAAAUUUUGUGUGGGUUCUUUUUUCAGCCGUGGCUAGCUUUGCAAAACAAUAAUUAUUAUAAUCCUUGAUCUGCACAUGCCCAAUUUCCUUAUACCGUAUAGUGUCUCAUUCUAGAAUAGUAGCCUUUCUGCUCUGUUAAGAUGUUGAAGCACGGCGACAUUUUUAACUCAUGUUUAAUAUUGACAGAACUAAGCAUUAGGUAGUUGCUUGCAUGCCAUUCAUGUCAUAGAGAAAAUGCUAAAUUUCCUCUCUCCAAUUCCUUAUCAUGAACCUAACGCUUUAUUGAUCUGUUUUUAGCUUCUAGAUGUUCUGAAACUAUAUACACAAUAGAUACUGUUUGUCUGAACUGUAGUUCCACUCCAUGAAAAGCUGAGAUAAACUAAGAAUGGGGUAAAAAAAUCCGACUCUUCCUGCUCACUGGCGGUGCCCGCUAUGGCAUGGGUGGCUUUACCGCAGCCGCCGAGCCUUCAAAUUCUGAAGAUAACAAGCAGCUCGAAUCCAAGAAGAAAACUAAUUUAGUUCAGCCAACACUCCUAUUUUUUGUGCAUCUUUGUUCCAACUUUGCAUUGACGCCAUGUCCACUUGGACAAUGUUCAUAUGUUACUUUGAUUUUUGCCCAAGAAAAUAAACAUUCUGAAAUCUUUGUAGGAAUAGACUAAAUACGCUACGCCCUUACAUUCUUUGUGGAGAAGUUCUUCAGCCAAUCUAUUGCCAUUGAUUUCUGUCAUCCUAAAGUUUGAAUUCAAAAUUUUAUACCCGCAAAAUUUGAUAUGGUUUGAUUGAGAUGUGCGACGUGCGUUGCACGUACACACUUACUUUUCGAUAGAAACUAGGUAUUAUGACAGUCUAAUGCAUCCAAUGUUCAUAAUGACAUUACAAAUUGUACCAUUAAGCAGCUUAGGAGGACCAUCCUCUGUUCCUGUAACAGAACCGAUGUAAAUUCUUCACUUGCCCCCACCACCUACAUAUAAAGAUUGAUUGUUAGUACAUUAUUACUGAAAAAUGCUUCUCUUUGAUAGACGCAUCACUACAUGUGUACAUAAUUAGGACAUACAGAUCACAUUUGUGACUUCAUAGGCCCACACAUAAUCUGAUUUAGCCACAAGGCUUUGAAGCUGGCACCCGUGCAAUAAGAAAUAAAUAAAUGAAAAAUAAAAUAUGCCACUCACAACGGGAAAAGUAAUUACAAUUCUACAGACUCAUCCCUCUCCUUUGUACUGCCUCUGCCAGGAAAUUGUUACAUGCUACAAAUUUGUGGAUGAAGCACGCACAAGAAAAACAAUAGAUUUACUUACCCAGAGGCCAGCCGAUUCAUGGCUGGAUCUAGUUAGUUACCUACACGUACUAGAAAAGCAUUGACCGAGCUCACCUAGAGCGACCGAAUCUGGAGGUGGGGCAAGGAAGGGGCGACGAGAAAGGACUCACAUACCAGAAGCUUACCUCAGGCCGGGCGGAGGGAAGGAAAUCAGCCGGAACAGAGGCCACAGGUGGAGGAAAACCAGCGUUGGAUCCUCGGCGGCCGACGGCCUUGCUUCUCCUUACUGGUGGACGGUUCUGCUGCUCCUGUCUGGUGGCGCUUGACGGCGCUGCUGCUCCUGUACGGUGGCGCUUGACAGCGUUGCUACUCCUUAGCGUAGCGGAUGGAGCUGCUGCUCCUGGGCGGAUGGUGCCCUGCGGGGAGGAAGGUCAGGGUUGGAGUUGAUGUGGCGCGAGGGAACAAGCGGACGGGCGGCGGCGCGGUCGAGUUAGGUUUAGGUCGGAGGCGGCGGCGCACGGGUUCUAUGUGAGUGGUGAGAGAGAGAAGGGUGAGAUUGGGGGUUGGACG
rnacentral:lncRNA from 1 species